rnacentral:rRNA from 1 species
UACGUAGGGUGCGAGCGUUGUCCGGAAUUAUUGGGCGUAAAGAGCUCGUAGGCGGUGUGUCACGUCGGCCGUGAAAACCUGGGGCUUAACUCUGGGCGUGCGGUCGAUACGGGCAUCACUAGAGUUCGGCAGGGGAGACUGGAAUUCCUGGUGUAGCGGUGAAAUGCGCAGAUAUCAGGAGGAACACCGGUGGCGAAGGCGGCUCACUGGCUCAUUACUGACGCUCAGGCGCGAUAGCGUGGGGAUCAAACAGG